AAAGAACGCCAAAGAUCAACAUGACAAAUAAAUAGAGAAGUACACUGACUACGUAUGUAUAUAGAUAGCUUUAAUUCUAAGUAAUCUCAGAAAACUAAAGUACCCUGAAUCUUGUUUGCCUGAAAACCGACACGAAUUCCACGAUGAUAAAAUACGUCGGAUCUAGAAACGGUGCUGCACCGGUGCGUGGCUCCAUGUAAAUUGCACAGUGUAGUCGCGCCGAGAAUCCCGUCUGAUUUACGUAACAUCGCGAUAGGGCAGGAAGUCUCCGCGACAAUUCACGCCUAGUUUCAUUGAAAAUUUCAAACGGCUGGGAAAACUCGGCUGGUCUAGGCGCGACUACAUUUUUAAAUAAACAGUCCAAUUAUUCUCGAUUUCAGGAGAAUCUGGAAAAUGUCAAGCGAGGUACCAAAUUGACUUUGGCGAAGCUGAAAUUGCUACGAAACCAGGUCGUUUCAGCGCCUAGUUCCUUUCAAAUUUCCAAGCUACGAAAACUGUCCGGGUAUAACGACACUUUUACAUGAAAACGAAUCUAAACGAAUACAAACGUAAUUUAAAAAAGUAAGUAACUCACGGCGCGUUAAAUGUAAAUAUUACAAAUCAUACAACGAUUUUAAUCGUAAAAGUAAAAAUAAUAUGUGGGUAAAUAACACGUUAAACUACCAAAUUUUACGAAAAUUCUAAAAAUAUUAAAAUAAAAGAAACGACCGUUUUACGAAGCAGAAACUGGUGCGAAAGUGAAUCGUUUUCAACGUAGAAUCGUAAUUCGGAAAAAUGUUUGGAAAACGAGGUAAAUGGUGAGUGUUGGAGAAAGAAAAACAGGGGGAAACAGGCUGUUAACGUCUAAUGAAUGGAUCGCGACGAGUGAUCUAUUCCGCGUCUAGGAUCCUCGUAGAUCUCGGGCUGCCACGCCCGGACGCGACAGAAUUUAAAGCGUCUAUUUAUAAAGAGUGAACGAACGGCAUGGUACCGGGCAACGUUAAAACACAUCGGGUCAGAACGCGAGCGUAAACGUGCGAUAUGCGUGCACAUUGUGCUGAUCCGGUUAAUUCUGGGAUGGAGCAAAGAGGAGCAAAAAAGGUAGGGAAAAAAUGAAAAAAGGAGAAAAGAGAGGGAAAAAAGGGAUCACCGACAUAAUUCGUGUUCCGUGCCUCUCAUAUUUGUGGCUGGCUAUAAAUAUCCACGGCGUGCAUCGCUCUUCUGCAAACAGAGCAAAAAAUAAAACAAGUCGACGUUGGAAGGAACUGUUCGCGACGAAAUGCAAUUUUUUAACGUCCCGUAGUUUUUACGCUCGUAAACAGCUUUGUUCUUCGUCGACGAAAUUGCGACAAACGAGGAAACCGCUCGCUGGAACACGUUGGCAAAAAGCUGUGCACGCUAAUUCGCGUUCGAACGAUUGAACGCUAUUUCAUUCUUCUUUAAGGGGUAUCUCCAUAAUCUGUGUUUGACCAACAGUCGUUGCUAUUAAAUCGCCCAAUAAGUUCCUUUUCUCUUAUUUGCAAGCUUCUACCGAUUUCAGUGGCAUUCUCGCUUACUUGUUUGCGAUGAAUAUUUCGCAAUUCCUAUAUACAUUUUCGCAUUGGCUUCAAAUUUCACCAAUAUGAUCAUGAUUUCCGUGUUUCAUUACGACAAGAAUGAAAUUUUAAAAUAUCGUAGACAACGCGCACGAUAUAUACGUAAAAGUUUCCUAUGGUAAGCGUUCGAAAUGCUUUCGUCAGCCGUUCUAAAUUCGUGCGAGGGACGAUUGUUCCAAAACGAAGUCGUUUCGCCCGGAAGUGGAGAGAAGGAGCGUGCAUUUCUUCCUUUCGAAGGGACUUUCCCGUGCAGUUGCUUAUUUAAGAAACGUCUGCUCUGAAACGAGUACCAUCGGGUGUAUUUUCGUCCCUCGGUAUGAAAGCGUGGUAGAAAAUAGUUGUGGUCGUGGUUCUUCUACGCUUAAAGAACCUCUCGAUCGGAGAUACCGUCCGACCGAUGCAACUCCUCUAUUUUUUCUUUUCCUUUUUUUUCCACCUAUCGACUCGUUCCCUGCCUUCGUUUCAUAAUUCAAACCAAAGGAUCUAUCUUUCUUUCGUCGAAUCGACAUUUCCUGCCUCGUCUUCCAAGUAGACGAUUCUACUGGAAAUAAAGCAGAAUCCUUUUCACGAGUUAUCGAAUUUGUUAUAUGCCGCUGUAUACCACCCGUGCGUAAUUCCAUAUCGCAAGAAAUACGAUAACAUACAGCAUGAAACUUGGAGGAGCACACGAUCCAGUUGCCUUCGAUAAAAUCACCUUUCGUCAUCUUAGCUCAGAUAACUUUACCAGAUGAUAGUUACACAGAUUUUUAUACAAAUUUAUAUUUUUACCAACAUAAUUGUAAUAUAACCUAAGUAGAAAUUCGUUUUACUUAUUAAAUAUUAUAACAGAUACUCCGGAUAUUGAUUCGUGCAUACCUGUGCAACCAACUAUUAGCCAGGAGCGAGUGAUUAUUAGCAACAGGCACCCAAACGAUUAUAUCCGCUACUGGUUACAGUAUGGAUUUCCGGAUCCUCAACAAGAAGCGAGUUACAUAGCGAACAAGAAUCUUCUUUAACGUGAUAUUUCAUCGUCCCUCUACGUAACGACGUUUUCGAGUAGCGACCACUUUCAAACGGACAGAAUUAACGUAUCCAGUUGACAACAACGUCAAGAGGGAACAACAUGGCCGCAAGUAAUAAUAAUUGGCGGAAGCGAAGAGACGGAGAGGAGAAGAAUUUGAAAGCCGACGCCCAACGUUAAUCCCGUUUCAGUGGAAAGAAAGGCGCAUCGGGAAAUGAGAAAAGUCGGGAGAGGAAGCAAUUGCGACUGGUUUUUCAUGGUAUUCGUGAUUAUUCGGUGGAAAGGGACAAAAGAAGAGGCAAUACCGGCGGAUGAUGCGCCAUGGCACAAGGCCCGUGUGCCAUUCGUUUCUCCGUACCUGUGCAUCGUUCCUCUUGUUGCACUAGAACGGUUGACAUAUUUCUUUUAGCGGUACACAGAGACGAGAAGAGAAGCCUAGCCGACGUUUCUCCUCCAUUCUUCUUCUAUUCCUUUGGCCUAGCAACGCCAGUCAUUACCAACGCCGCCAUCAACCACACGCUGUCAUUGUCUGGACGCACUUUGCCGAUGCACGCGACAACGCUCGUUUGAAACGCGACUUUAAUUGCGUAACACCCAGCCGUCUGUCCGUUUUCACAGCGAAACGAAUUAAGACAACGAUCACGUGUACCCCAUCGUUCACCGAGAACAGUUUUCAUGCCAUUCGUGACGCUCUAAAAUAGUUCAUCUCUGUCCGAGGCAAAUUGGAAAGCAAAGGAACGAACUUGUUGCGCUUUGUUUUAUUUUAAAGUGGAUUUGUCGAGGCUGAUUUAUAGAAAACGAUAAAAGAUGAUGUGAUGUAUCGAUCGCUUGCAAUAAAAGAGACAUCGCGUAUUAUAUGUACUUGGCAUCGCUAGUGCGUGUAUUUAUAAUUCAACUUCUGAUAUUCUCGGGUAUUUAUUUUAUAUGUAUAUAUAUGUGUGUAUGAAAAUAUAGUAAUAUAGCUAUAGCAUGUUCAUUAUUUUAUAAAACGUUCAUUCUCUUAGAGAAACUGAUGCAGAACGAAAAAAAAGAAAGUAAUUAUUACACGGACGUGCAUCGAGAGCCGUGUGACCCAGAAAUACAAAUAUUAAAUCGAAGUUGAAAAACCACUUACUAAUUGACGACUGAAGUAUAAAACACGUGCCGGAGAGAUUAAAAUGAACAAUAUGCUAAAAAGAAUAUGUAUAAUAUAAAGAAAAUGAAAACGAGUCUUUGUUCAUA